rnacentral:rRNA from 1 species
UAUGCCUAAUACAUGCAAGUCGAGCGCAGGAAGCAGACGGAAGCCUUCGGGCGGAUGUCUGUGGAAUGAGCGGCGGGAUGGGUGAGUAUCACGUGGGUAACCUGCCUGUAAGCUUGGGAUAACUCCGGGAAACCGGUGCUAAUACCAGAUAAAAUUUCCGUUCGCAUGAACGGAAAAUGAAAGGCGGCUUUUGCUGUCACUUGCAGAUGGACCCGCGUCGCAUUAGCUAGUUGGUGGGGUAAAGGCUCACCAAAGCAACGAUGCGUAGCCGACCUGAGAGGGUGAUCGGCCACACUGGGACUGAGACACGGCCCAGACUCCUACGGGAGGCAGCAGUAGGGAAUCUUCCGCAAUAGACGAAAGUCUGACGGAGCAAUACCGCGUGAGUGAUGAAGGUCUUCGGAUCGUAAAACUCUGUUGUUAGGGAAGAACAAGCAUUAAUUUAAUACAUUAGUGCCCUGACGGUACCUAACCAGAAAGCCCCGGCUAACUACGUGCCAGCCGCAGC